CUCGCCUCCGCCGCAUCCGACCCCACUUCCCCCGCUCCGAUCUCCUCCGCCGCCGCGCGCCGGCGCCGGCGCCGACCCCUCCCUCCCCCACCUCUCCCUUCCCGCCGAGGACCUUCCCCGGGCCAGUUGAUCCGCCGCCCGGGCGGUUCCCUCCUCCUUCCCUCCCUCCCUUCGCCGUCUGCCCCCGCGCUCCCGCAGGGGCGCCGCCGUGGCGGAUCCAUGGACCGGUCGAUCAACUUCCGCGGCAUCGCAGGGAGCGCCGGCAACAUCAUGCAGGGGAUGGGGAAAUUCGUUUUCGGCAAUGAGGGUCCAGAGUCCAAGGAAGAUAGCUACGUCGAGAGAUAUCUUGACCGGAUAAGCAAUGGCACCAUACCCGAUGACCGGAGGUCGGCCAUGACCGAGCUGCAGUCGCUGGUGGCGGAGAGCCGCGCCGCGCAGAUGUCAUUUGGAGCAAUGGGUUUUCCUAUCCUCCUCAAUGUUUUGAAAGAGGAUCGGGAGGACGUAGAGCUUGUGAGAGGUGCCUUGGAGACCUUUGUGAGUGCAUUGACUCCUAUUGAGACGUCACAAGGGCCCAAGACUGAGGUUCAACCUGCAUCGCUGAACUCAGAUCUGCUUUCCCGAGAAACAGAAAAUAUUUCCCUUCUUUUGAGCUUAUUGCCAGAGGAAGACUUCUAUGUGAGAUACUACACAAUCCAACUUUUAACAGCUUUACUUACAAACUCGCUGAAAAGAUUACAGGAGGCAAUUCUAUUGAUUCCUCGUGGUAUAACAGUUCUGAUGGACAUGCUUAUGGAUCGUGAGGUCAUAAGGAAUGAAGCACUGUUGCUUCUUACUUAUCUGACCCGUGAUGCAGAGGAAAUUCAAAAAAUUGUUGUAUUUGAGGGUGUGUUUGAGAAGAUAUUUAGCAUUAUAAGAGAGGAGGGCUCCUCUGAUGGAGGUGUAGUUGUUCAGGAUUGCCUUGAAUUGCUAAAUAAUUUAAUUCGACACAGUUCGUCCAAUCAGAUGCUUUUAAAAGAGACAAUGGGCUUUGACCCAUUGAUAGCAAUACUAAAGAUCAGGAGAGGCAGUGCAUUUAAUUUUACUCAACAAAAGACAGUAAAUCUUCUUGGUGCUUUAAAUACUGUUGAAUUACUUUUGACGGGGGGGCCCAUCCAGCGAAUCAGGUAAAGAUGCUAACAAGAACGCCAAUCAAGCUGCAUUGGCUCAGAAAAAUAUACUGGACCAUCUUCUGUUAUUGGGUGUUGAGAGUCAGUGGGCCCCUGUUGCUCUUCGCUGUAUGGCACUGCGAUGUAUUGGCAAUUUGGUGUUGAGAAAUCCUCAGAAUCUUGAUUCUCUUGCGAAAAAGCAAGUUGGAGAGGAGCCUCAUGUUCAGCCUGCACUGAAUGCCAUCUUGUCUAUAAUCUUGCGGACCUCUAUAGCACAGGAAUUUGUUGCUGCUGAUUUUGUAUUCAAGUGUUUCUGUGAGAAAAAUCCCAAUGGUCAAGCAUUAUUAGCAUCAACUAUUGCUCCACAUCCGAACCAAGGAGAUACACAUCGGGCUGCAAGUGACAUGCCUUUUGGAAGUAUACUUCUGCAAGCUCUGGUUUCAAGUGAUGUUAAUGAAGAUAUGGAGGCAUGUUGCAGAGCAUCUAGUGUUCUUUCUCACAUUAUAAAGGACAACUUGCAAAGCAAGGAUCGUGUACUGCAAAUCCAGCUUGGGACACCUGCACCAUCCUUGGGACGCACAGAGCCGCUACUGCACCGUAUUGUUACAUGUUUGUCCAUUGCAGCUUCAGCAGACGGAGAAAAUGACCAAAGCAGCCACCUAGAAGAAUCGUACAUUCAACCUGUUAUUCUUCGGCUACUCAUCGUAUGGCUUGUUGACUGUUCAAAUGCUGUCAACUGCCUUUUGGAAUCAGCAGUGCAUCUGAACUACAUAAUAGAGCUUGCUUCAAGCAAACGUUACACUGCUUGUGUUCGUGGACUGGCUGCUGUUGUUCUAGGUGCUUGCGUCCUGUACAAUGCUAGCCGUGAGAAGGGCCGUGACACCUUUGCUGUUGCAGAUGCUAUAAGUCAAAAGAUUGGCCUAACAACUUACUUUUUGAGGUUUGAUGAAUUGCGGAAAAGCUUGGCACAUCCAUCGUCAGAGCAGCGGCACCGCAAGGAGCUUUCCCGAUCAAGUGCAAAUAGCAUGUCAGAUUUCCAAGAGAUUGAGGAGGAUGCAACAAAUAAAGACGAUCAACACCCUGUCCUCUCAGAAAUAUUUGAUUCACAGUUUGUUGAUUUCCUCAAUAAGUUUGAGGCUGAUAUUAGAGAAAACAUAAUGGACAUAUUUAGUCGGACAAAAACUGCAACUGCAGUUCUACCUGCUGAGUUGGAGCAGAAGAAUGGGGAGGUCGAUGGAGAAUAUAUCAAGCGAUUAAAGUCAUUUGUGGAGAAACAGUGCAAUGAGAUGCAGGACUUACUGGCUCGAAACGCAAUGUUAGCAGAAGAGUUUGUGAAAACUGGUGGUGGCAGCACUGCAGAUACAUCCCAGAAACCUAGCAGUGGUCGAGAAAGGGUCCAGAUGGAAGCCCUCAGACAAGAACUCGAGGGAGCAAAACGGCAGAUAGAGUCGCUCAAAACUGAGAAGUCCCAGAUUGAAGCUGAAGCUAACCACCAAAGAAACCUUGCACUAAAAAUGGAGUCUGACCUCAAGAGCUUGUCAGACGCAUACAACAGCCUUGAGCAGGCUAACUACCGCUUGGAUGCCGAGGUGAAAACCUUGCGGCAGGGAGGCAGUGUGCCCUAUCCUGACGUGGAAGCGAUAAAAGCACAAGCCAAGGACGAGGCCGAGAAGGACAGCGGGGCAGAACUGAAUGAUCUUCUCGUCUGCCUUGGGCAGGAACAAAGUAAGGUCGAGAAGCUAAGUGCAAGGCUGGCAGAGCUUGGCGAAGACGUGGAUACCCUGUUGCAAGGUAUCGGUGAUGAUACAGCCAUACCAGAUGAUGACGAUGAAGAUGAAGAUGAGGAAUAGUAAUAUAUUCGAUUAUUAUGUGGUCUCCAUGUGUAAUUCGCCAUGUUGGGUCAAGAUGUUGUGAUGGCAAAUGUACAGUGGAUAAUGUUUGGACAAAGGUACCAUUUCAGUUUUAAGUUAUUUGUGGAGGAUGGGACUAAAUUGCUGACUCGCCUCAUUUUUAAUUUGGUUCUCCCAAUGAAUUUACAUUUACUCAAGUAACCAAACUAAUUUUAUAUUUAGGGUUACCUGUUGAGCACA